UACGUAGGGGGCUAGCGUUGUCCGGAAUCAUUGGGCGUAAAGCGCGUGUAGGCGGUCCGGUAAGUCCGCUGUGAAAGUCGGGGGCUCAACCCUCGAAUGCCGGUGGAUACUGUCGGGCUAGAGUGCGGAAGAGGCGAGUGGAAUUCCUGGUGUAGCGGUGAAAUGCGCAGAUAUCAGGAGGAACACCGGUGGCGAAGGCGGAUCUCUGGGCCUUGCCUGACGCUGAGGCGCGAAAGCUAGGGGAGCGAACAGG
rnacentral:rRNA from 1 species